GGAAUUAAGUUAACUUGUAUCGUGUGGGCUAAAAAGACAACUAGUAUUCCUGCUGUGAACAUGCUUGUGCCCAUUAGAACAGUGACGAUCUGGUCAAAAAUAUCUGAUCUGCUGUCAAUGGCAUGUAUGCAAGUAAACACAAAUAAACUAAUUAAUUAUUAUUUUCUUCAAAUUGACAGUGUUAUCUUUGGCCAUGGGGUAUUGUGAAAAUCUUCACUCAAUGGGAGCCACAAAGCAAUAUUGAAGAAGCACAGGAGGAGGUAAAAUUGGAAUCACACAUGCGAAUACAAGGAUUCCUUGCUGAAAUGUCGGUAAAAAGCGGCCAAUAAUGCAAUUAUUUAACGAUUAUGGUACGUAGGUCAUGUUGAAUAAUGGACAAACAGAAGAUAAUGGAACUUCAGAAAAACAGGUAUCAUUUGGAACGAGCGAUGUAAAUGGAGGAUUUAUUCCAACGGUUGGCUUCGGCCGUUGCAACUGUGAUUGGUUAUUAUCAACUCGUAUUUUUGGUCUAAAACCAAUUCGCAACGAACUAACCUGACACAACAAGAUGGUUGAGCACGUUUCUCAGUGGUUUUGCUUUAUGUUAGUUCUGAUCUGUUUUAAUAUUUGCUUAUGUUUGUAAAUGUGUGGAGUUAUUAGCUUUUAAGUUAUAGAAAAAAUUACACAGACAUGAGUGUUGAGGGGGUGGUGGAGGGUAGUAGGAUGUAAAUAUGAAAUUGAUUUGUUCGGUAGAUUGGGGUGGGUGGUGCUAAUCAAUUCUAACUUGCAUGGGGUAAGGUUUGAAUAGGAAGUUGGGUUAACUUGGUGAAGUUCCUGACUUCAUAUUAAUUUAACAUUUUUUCAUGCAGGUGGCAUUAAAAGCCAGCAAAUUCACCGCGAGACGUGUAAAUUCUCUUACAGUAAAAACUUACCAUUGUAAACCCGAAAGACAACCAGCCAUUUCCUUGUUUGAAUUUGCUUUUUGCAUAGUAUCUACCUGUGCAACAGAAAACAAAAAGCUGUGUCUUAAUUUGAAUUCGCCGCCAUUUUGAAAUAUGUGGCAACGUUGCUUUAGUUUUGUGAACCGCCAUCAGUCGCCAUUUGCUAGUUCAUUGUCGUGUGUGAAAUGUGUGGUGUGCAUCUGACGGGCGAAUUAUUGGACACAUCAGGAAGAACUGUUAAAGGAAUAUCACAAGUUGUGAACAAGACAUUGUGGUGCCUUGGCUCCCGUUCUCUCUCAUCUCUAUGCUAGAUGGCCAUCAUGAAGGAUCAUAAAUGAAUGAUCCUGAGCACUGAGAAAAGAGUGAUGCUGAUGUAGAGUCUUGUAACAGUGGACCCCACAGUCCAUGACAGAAACAAGUAGGACAGAAAAUUCCAUCACUUAAAGAAGUAGCUAACCAUGGGCAGAAAUUGGUAUAGUAAAUGUUGGAGUGGAAUGGUUGUAGGAAAGAGUUAUGCAAGAUAAAAAAAU